rnacentral:rRNA from 1 species
GGGUUGUGAGGUUAAGCGACUAAGCGUACACGGUGGAUGCCCUGGCAGUCAGAGGCGAUGAAGGACGUGCUAAUCUGCGAAAAGCGCCGGCGAGGUGAUAUGAACCUUUGACCCGGCGAUGUCCGAAUGGGGAAACCCAGUGCAAUCCGUUGCACUAUCGUUAACUGAAUACAUAGGUUAACGAGGCGAACCGGGGGAACUGAAACAUCUAAGUACCCCGAGGAAAAGAAAUCAACCGAGAUUCCCCCAGUAGCGGCGAGCGAACGGGGAGCAGCCCGGAGUCUGAAUCAGCUUGUGUGUUAGUGGAACGGUCUGGAAAGUCCGACGGUACAGGGUGAUAGUCCCGUACACGAAAGCACACAUGCUGUGAACUCGAAGAGUAGGGCGGGACACGUGGUAUCCUGUCUGAAUAUGGGGGGACCAUCCUCCAAGGCUAAAUACUCCUGACUGACCGAUAGUGAACCAGUACCGUGAGGGAAAGGCGAAAAGAACCCCGGCGAGGGGAGUGAAAAAGAACCUGAAACCGUGUACGUACAAGCAGUGGGAGCCUCUUUAUGGGGUGACUGCGUACCUUUUGUAUAAUGGGUCAGCGACUUAUAUUCUGUAGCAAGGUUAACCGUAUAGGGGAGCCGAAGGGAAACCGAGUCUUAACUGGGCGUUAAGUUGCAGGGUAUAGACCCGAAACCCGGUGAUCUAGCCAUGGGCAGGUUGAAGGUUGGGUAACACUAACUGGAGGACCGAACCGACUAAUGUUGAAAAAUUAGCGGAUGACCUGUGGCUGGGGGUGAAAGGCCAAUCAAACCGGGAGAUAGCUGGUUCUCCCCGAAAGCUAUUUAGGUAGCGCCUCGUGAACUCAUCUUCGGGGGUAGAGCACUGUUUCGGCUAGGGGGCCAUCCCGGCUUACCAACCCGAUGCAAACUACGAAUACCGAAGAAUGUUAUCACGGGAGACACACGGCGGGUGCUAACGUCCGUCGUGAAGAGGGAAACAACCCAGACCGCCAGCUAAGGUCCCAAAGUCAUGGUUAAGUGGGAAACGAUGUGGGAAGGCACAGACAGCCAGGAUGUUGGCUUAGAAGCAGCCAUCAUUUAAAGAAAGCGUAAUAGCUCACUGGUCGAGUCGGCCUGCGCGGAAGAUGUAACGGGGCUAAACCAUGCACCGAAGCUGCGGCAGCGACGCUUAGGCGUUGUUGGGUAGGGGAGCGUUCUGUAAGCCGUCGAAGGUGUCCUGUGAGGGGUGCUGGAGGUAUCAGAAGUGCGAAUGCUGACAUAAGUAACGAUAAAGCGGGUGAAAAGCCCGCUCGCCGGAAGACCAAGGGUUCCUGUCCAACGUUAAUCGGGGCAGGGUGAGUCGACCCCUAAGGCGAGGCCGAAAGGCGUAGUCGAUGGGAAACAGGUUAAUAUUCCUGUACUUGGUGUUACUGCGAAGGGGGGACGGAGAAGGCUAUGUCAGCCGGGCGACGGUUGUCCCGGUUUAAGCAUGUAGGCGGAGGUUCCAGGUAAAUCCGGUACCUUGUUAACGCUGAGGUGUGAUGACGAGGCACUACGGUGCUGAAGUGAUAAAUGCCCUGCUUCCAGGAAAAGCCUCUAAGCAUCAGGUAACACGAAAUCGUACCCCAAACCGACACAGGUGGUCAGGUAGAGAAUACCAAGGCGCUUGAGAGAACUCGGGUGAAGGAACUAGGCAAAAUGGUGCCGUAACUUCGGGAGAAGGCACGCUGAUGUGUAGGUGAAGCCCCUGCGGGCGGAGCUGAAAUCAGUCGAAGAUACCAGCUGGCUGCAACUGUUUAUUAAAAACACAGCACUGUGCAAACACGAAAGUGGACGUAUACGGUGUGACGCCUGCCCGGUGCCGGAAGGUUAAUUGAUGGGGUUAGCGGCAACGCGAAGCUCUUGAUCGAAGCCCCGGUAAACGGCGGCCGUAACUAUAACGGUCCUAAGGUAGCGAAAUUCCUUGUCGGGUAAGUUCCGACCUGCACGAAUGGCGUAAUGAUGGCCAGGCUGUCUCCACCCGAGACUCAGUGAAAUUGAACUCGCUGUGAAGAUGCAGUGUACCCGCGGCAAGACGGAAAGACCCCGUGAACCUUUACUAUAGCUUGACACUGAACACUGGUCCUUGAUGUGUAGGAUAGGUGGGAGGCUUUGAAGCGUGGACGCCAGUCUGCGUGGAGCCAACCUUGAAAUACCACCCUUUAAUGGCUGGUGUUCUAACGUAGACCCGUAAUCCGGGUUGCGGACAGUGUCUGGUGGGUAGUUUGACUGGGGCGGUCUCCUCCCAAAGAGUAACGGAGGAGCACGAAGGUUGGCUAAUCCUGGUCGGACAUCAGGAGGUUAGUGCAAUGGCAUAAGCCAGCUUGACUGCGAGCGUGACGGCGCGAGCAGGUGCGAAAGCAGGUCAUAGUGAUCCGGUGGUUCUGAAUGGAAGGGCCAUCGCUCAACGGAUAAAAGGUACUCCGGGGAUAACAGGCUGAUACCGCCCAAGAGUUCAUAUCGACGGCGGUGUUUGGCACCUCGAUGUCGGCUCAUCACAUCCUGGGGCUGAAGUAGGUCCCAAGGGUAUGGCUGUUCGCCAUUUAAAGUGGUACGCGAGCUGGGUUUAGAACGUCGUGAGACAGUUCGGUCCCUAUCUGCCGUGGGCGCUGGAGAAUUGAGGGGGGCUGCUCCUAGUACGAGAGGACCGGAGUGGACGCAUCACUGGUGUUCGGGUUGUCAUGCCAAUGGCACUGCCCGGUAGCUAAAUGCGGAAGAGAUAAGUGCUGAAAGCAUCUAAGCACGAAACUUGCCCCGAGAUGAGUUCUCCCUGAGACUUUAAGUCUCCUGAAGGAACGUUGAAGACGACGACGUUGAUAGGUCGGGUGUGUAAGCGCAGCGAUGCGUUGAGCUAACCGAUACUAAUGAACCGUGAGGCUUAACCUUACAACGCCGAAGCUGUU